GUUUGCGGCGAUGGCGGAAGGAACCACACACGUACCAUCCCGAACACGGCCGUUAAGCCUUCCAGCGCCGAUGGUAGUUUUGGACCGAAGGGAACUCCGGGAGAGUAGGACGCCGCCAAGC
rnacentral:rRNA from 1 species